rnacentral:lncRNA from 1 species
UAAUCUUGCAGAAUAUUUGACUUGAUUGGUGCUCCCGGAGAGUUUAGAUGCUACAAUAUUAAAGAUCAUCAUCAAGUCCCGUGAGUUACAUGUCCAUUUUAAAUUGCUUUAUUAACAAAAAAUACACAUAAGCCUUCAUUGCUCUUUUAGACUUUCAAGUGCAACUAGGCAAUUGAUACUGAAUACUAGCAGCAGCCAUUCAAUACAUAAAUUCAGUAUCAGCAUUAUAAAAUUUGGUUCAAUCAACACAAAUUUCUUUUUCUUUUUAGGAUAACCAACAUGAAGAUUGACAUACAUAAACAAAUAAAAUGAUGUCUUCUAUCACCAUUUUUAGAGUGAUACAGAAACAGCAAACUGAUCCGCUCCAAGUUUGUGAAAUAAAUUUGUUCGACCUAAUCUCCACCAGGUAAAUAACCAGGAGUAGAAUUGAUG